rnacentral:rRNA from 1 species
CCUACGGGGUGCAGCAGUAGGGAAUUUUCGUCAAUGGGCGCAAGCCUGAACGAGCAAUGCCGCGUGAACGAGGAAGGUCUUCGGAUCGUAAAGUUCUGUUGAAGGGGAAAAAGAGCGGAGAGAGGAAAUGCUUUCUGAUUGAUAUUACCCUUCGAGGAAGUCACGGCUAACUACGUGCCAGCAGCCGCGGUAAUACGUAGGUGGCGAGCGUUAUCCGGAAUUACUGGGUGUAAAGGGCGUGUAGGCGGGACUGCAAGUCAGAUGUGAAAACCAUGGGCUCAACCCAUGGCCUGCAUUUGAAACUGUAGUUCUUGAGUGUUGGAGAGGCAGGCGGAAUUCCGUGUGUAGCGGUGAAAUGCGUAGAUAUACGGAGGAACACCAGUGGCGAAGGCGGCCUGCUGGACAAUAACUGACGCUGAGGCGCGAAAGCGUGGGGAGCAAACAGGAUUAGAUACCCGUGUAGUC